rnacentral:ribozyme from 1 species
UAUCGUGCUCUUCAUUAGUAGAGAAGUGCGAAAGCCCUCUCCCAUUUUCGACCAGAUAAAGGUAUGAGCUCGAAGCCGAAAAAAAAAAGAGCUGGCCUUGUCCAAAUAGGAUCUCCUUGUC